AGCAGCCGCGGUAAUUCCAGCUCCAAUAGCGUAUAUUAAAGUUGUUGCAGUUAAAAAGCUCGUAGUUGAAUUUCGGGGUUAGUAGGUUGGUCAUGCCUCUGGUAUGUACUGGUCUCACUGAUUCCUCCUUCCUGAUGAGCCGUAAUGCCAUUAAUUUGGUGCUGCGGGGAAUUUGGACUGUUACUUUGAAAAAAUUAGAGUGUUUAAAGCAAGCUAACGCUUGAAUACAUUAGCAUGGAAUAAUGAAAUAGGACGUUCGAUCCUAUUUUGUUGGUUUCUAGGAUUGACGUAAUGAUUAAUAGGGAUAGUUGGGGGCAUUAGUAUUCAAUUGUCAGAGGUGAAAUUCUUGGAUUUAUUGAAGACUAACUACUGCGAAAGCAUUUGCCAAGGAUGUUUUCAUUAAUCAAGAACGAAAGUUAGGGGAUCGAAGACGAUCAGAUACCGUCGUAGUCUUAACCAUAAACUAUGCCGACUAGGGAUCGGAUGAUGUUAAUUUUUUAAUGACUC
rnacentral:rRNA from 1 species